GUGUCCCCGAGCCGCAGCCGCCGACUGCGGAGGUGUUCCGUGUCCCCGAGCUGCCACCGCCGACUGCGGAGGUGUUCUGUGUCCCCGAGCCGCCGGCGAUGACUGCGGAGGUGUCCCCGAGCCGCCGACUGCGGAGGUGUUCCGUGUCUCGAGCCACCGCCGACUACUGCGGAGACGUUCCGUGUCCCCGAGCCGCCGUCGACUACUCCGGAGGCGUUCCGUGUCCCCGAGCCGCCGGCGACUACUCCGGAGGCGCUCCGUGUCCCCGAGCCCCCGCCGACCGCGGCGUUGUUCCGUGUCCCCGAGCCACCGACGACCCCGGAGGUUUCCUGUGUCCCCGAGCGAGCCAUUCCAGAGACGUUCCGUGCCCUGCAGUCGCCGCUCCGGAGCCAGCCAAAUGACCGUCCGCCGGGCCGACCACCGGAGGCUCCAUGGUCGUGUGCCUGUCCGCCAGGCCAACCCCCAGAGGCUCCCCGGUCGUCUGGCCGCCCGCCGGACCGCCCGCCAGAGUUUCCCGGGCGGUCCGACCAACGUCUCUGGUUUCCCUCCCACCCCUUGUCCGCUCUCUGCUAGUGUGAGCCGUCUGGAAUUCGGCCCUUGGGGGGGGUACUGUCACGGUGUGGUUUUAAUUCCUGUCUUAUUUUGUAGUUUUCUGCUUCUUGUCUCCCUGGGUGCCCCCUUUUUGCCCCCCCCCCCCCCCCCCGUUCCUGUGUGUGUGUGUUUUCCCGUUGGCCUUUGCUUUUGCUUUUUGCCCGUUUUGAGUCUCUUUUGUUUAAACUCUGCGUUUGAGUCCUGCAUUCCUACCCAACCCUGACAAAAUGAGACGAUCAACGCCACGCUCAUGUCCAGGCGAUACAGCUAAGCUCAGAACCAACAACAGCUUAGCUUGUAGGCGACUGUGGGUGAGUGGGGAGCACGGUCGUCCUCCAAUCAGAGGGUUGUCGGUUCGAUCCCAGGCCCGGCUAACCUGCAUGUCGUUGUGUCCUUGGGCAAGACACUUAACCCAACAUUGCUCCUGUAGCUGCGACUACAGUGUGUGAAUGGUAGUUACUGAUGGCAGGUGUCACUGUGUAUGGUUCUCCUGUCAUCAGUGUAUGAAUGGGUGUGAAUGGGUGAAUGAUCCCUUGAUGAAAUACUGACCUCUACAACAUGAAACGAUACAACAUCGACCUAUUGGCAACCUUCUCAGAACGGUUUCACUGGUUUAAUUUUUGAUUGUACACCUGUGUUUGUAACAGCGGAAUCAGAAAGGAAAGGCCGCGUGCAGGAGCUCCGAUUACCAGCUGAAAGGCCAGCCAGAGGCUUCCAGAGCAGCUCUGUUUGCAAACAGGAAGGAGCAAGGGCAAGCCAAAGCAGGACAUCACAGGGGUGUGUGUGUGUGUGUGUGUGUGUGUGUGUGUGUGUGUAUAUAGCUACACACGCAUAAUUACUUUUUUUCUUUUAAAUUAGACAACAAUGAGUAACACUCAUAUCCUAGAAGUCACGGCCCAGAUCAUCACUCUCCGUUAAAUUGUGACCAUUGACAGGCUUGAGAUCAAAACAGACUGAUUAAAAAAAACAUAAAUGACGAUGAUAAAUCAUUGACUCACGGAAAGGAUGUCCACUGAGAAUAUGUUAACCUUGAGUUUAACAUUUUUGCAGGGUGCUGAGUAAGUGAAAAACACUGACUUAACCUCAACAAUGCCAAGUUCUCAAACUCAUACUGAUGCAGAGUACAUAUUUUCCCAAUCGAUUUGGGAACAAAUCCUCCACUGAAAGCAAACAGGACUUUAAUAUUCAUGGGGGCAUGUAUGCCUCUCACUAUGUUAAUAAUGCUGUCUUCAGAAAGGCUUAGGCUAUAAUGAGGAUUUACGAAUUCAAAUCACAGUCGGCUACAUAUGUCAAUGCCAUCAAUACAGCACAGCUCGGGCUCCAACAGUUUCCUCUCCAUUUCUGACAGAGGCCGUCUUAUUGACCCUUUCCACCCCAACAAGGAAGUAGUAAGGAAGUUAGCGGUGCCCCCAUCAGAUAAUGACAAGAUGACGACAAGAUGAUGACUGGCCCUUUGGCCCCAGCUUCAUGGUUUGCAGGAGCGCCGAUGGCAAGCAAAAGGCAUAAAGGGAAGAAAUAGGAAAAUGGAGACGUCUGAGACCUGCUGCUAUUUACGACUUGUCAACAUAUCGGCAAUUGUGAUGCAAGCACAAGUCAGUGAAAAUGUAAUCUUUAUUCACUAAAUGUCUAUUCCUGUUCCUGUGUGGCUUUUUAACUGUGUUUUCCUUUCCUUAUUAUGAGACCCAAUCUCUGCUGUAACUAAGUUUAAUAAAUAUUUAAUAAGAUGGGUACAUCAGAGUCAAUCGACUCAAGCCUGCCCGCUCUCUCUGUAUUGAACAUUAAGUGUUUAUGUAAAUGAGUUCUGGGUAGCAACUCUCCCUCUGGUCUGGACUCAAUAGAUGCUAUUUAUUCACAUGAAAAUGAAUUGUUUUUACAUAUUCGGAAGAUUACGUGAAAUGUGCAUUUUGAAGCUAUGGUGCGAGAAUGUUGGGUGUGUGAGUGCAUUUCUUAACACUCCGUAUUAUCAUCAUACAAAAGACUACCAAGCUGCUGUGUUUACUUCUUAUCCCACAGUCUCUCUUUAAGCUUCCAAGCUAUUCCUCUGUUUUACACUUUGACUUCUACAUAGUUAUUUUGAAGAAUGAACUCCAGGUCAUUAUAGCCAAAUUACUUCAUUAAUUAAACAGUUAACAAAGAAAGCAGAGCAAUAGUUUGCUGCCUUUUGGUCAACACUUGUUUGCUCCUGUUUAUUAAAUAGGAUCCUUCGGGUGAGGAGACCUCUUAAAUGGGGUUGGUGCUUGUUGAAAGCAGAGUUUUGUGGUGAGUAAUUGGAUUGCGGCUUUGAGCGUGCAUGUGUUUAAGUGUCGAGAUCGAACGGCGCCUGGGGUGUGUUUACCUGAGAAGGGUCCAUCCCUCCUCCGAUCCUACUUUUCCUCCCUCCCACCAUCCAUCGCUCCUCUCCCCCUCUCUAAUCAGUCCAAUAAAGGAUAUCCUCUGCAGUCCCCCAGCCAUGGCUCUGCAGCAACAGAUUAGGCAGUCUGCACGUACGCACACACAUCAUCUGCUGUGGGGAGAGAGAGUAGGCUGCUGGAAAUCGGCCAUGCGGAAGAUAAGGAAUCACAGAUGGACAAUGGUGCACCUGCACUUCACCUCUUUCACAUCCCAUGAAAUCCACGCAGGAAACAUUGGAUUGCUGAUAUGCUCACACCCGUGUAAAGCAUGCCUGCGCACACUCUAGACUUAAACUCUUAGAACGUGAAACGCUGGCUAACAGGGAGAAGUGAGUGUCUCUGACAAAUUGCCGUGUGCUGAUGAAUUGGUGCAUGUGUACGUUGGCUAACAACACUUGGAGUAAUGAGCAGGUCGCCCUUAUAGUAACCCCCGCCCCCCCCGCGCGUUGAGUUACAGAGAUGGAUGCUGCGUCGGAUGGCUGUGGCUACAGCACAUGCCUACACAUUAGGGGGUUUGCGGUGGAGCUAGAUAGGGUGAGAGGACUUUAUAUUUGAAUGCAUGACCAGCAUCCUCUCAGGGUCAUAACAAAUGACCCGGAAUUUUUUACCUCAUCACUCCAGCACCAGGCUAUUUGUGUGCCCAUAAACACAGAGAAGAGCAGAAAAACUCGUUCAAUGGCUUUUACCACUCUCGGGAUGGUGUAUGGAUAUAUGUCUGCUCAUCUACAAAUGGUGCGCUGGGUGCCAAGUAACAAACAUUAGGGAACAGUGCUGAUUUCAGACCCGUUUUUAUUUACUCUGGGCAGGAAAUUACACCACUCAAGCUGUUUGUGCCACUAGAGCUUCUGAUUUUUGUAACCUCCUGGUUGCACUCUCAGGUCGCCAAACCCAUUGCUCCCAAAAUACACUGCUGCCUCUGUGAGAAACCUGCCUUGCUUUACUUGCAGUGGCUUUUAGAACAGAACAGGGCGGCCCGGAAUACUUCACCGCCAUCUAAAGCCGUACGUUCAUUAAACGCGUCAGCUGGCCGGUUUGUGCCAUUCUUUAUCCAAACAAUGAGUGCAGGCAUGUUUUUGCAGAGGUGUUUAUAUUGGACAUUGCUUGCUCAAAUUACACUGUCCCCGAGUGAAACGAAACUAACUCUGCUUGGGCAUCAAUUGUGCACUUGUUUAGCCUUUCCCCGAAUGGACGCUGUUACACACUUGGAUCCUCACAGGCAAUCGGUUUAAAUCACACAUUUUUAUAACCUACAGGUUCCUGACACACAAGACUGAGUGAGAUGAAAUGUUUUUUAAUUAAAGUAAAGCUGUACCUCAUUGUACCUGUACCGAUAUUAAAAUACGAGUCAGUGAUGUCUCAAAUGCAGGCGGCCGUUUGUGUCGUGUGGGGCUGUUUUUACAACGUGACAAGAGGUUCUAAACACAUUGAUUCACAGUGUCGGCAGUGAUGGUUGCAGCUCUCCUCCACUGCUGGUUUAUUCUAGCAAUGAAACCACGCAACGACUGUUAGAAGUCAGACGUUGUCGUAUUCAGAAAGUUACCCUGAAACAAACAGGUUAUUUGAGCAGAGAAAAAGUUUUUGUUGUCAAUUCUGGCCAAAUUGGAAAUGUACAAUUCCAUAAGCAUGUGGAGAAAGGUCAAACCUUUGUACCAUCGGGAGGUGGCUUUUUCCCUUGUGUGGAUUUACACAUGCAUGCAAAUUCUCUUUAAUAAGGUCCUGAACUUCAUCAAGACACGCGGCAUGGAGCCGUUAUCUGCACCCAGAGAGCCAAGCCGGGCCCCGCUGGCUGAUGGGAUUAAGGAACAAAGGGAAUCAUGGGAUUAGUCCGAUACAGCAGAGGUAUCGGAGUCUAGAAGCCAACCAUUUUGUUUACCUUUGUCUUUUAUUCUUUUAUUCCAUUUCCUCUGUGCUGUGUUGUGAGUCCCUGUCGGGGGGGCAGGCGGAGAGUGAUAUCUUGUUUGGCUCCUGACAGCACCACUUGGAGAGGAAAAUGAAAAGAGAUGGUGAUAACACAGAGACUCACGCAUUCACACACACCUCCUGCCAGCCUGUCCACCCCACGCUGUUCAUAGGGCAAUUCAGGCCUGGCAAUUUAGGGCGAGUUAAAGUGGAGGGAAAAGACUAAAAUAGUGCGGCAAAGCGAAAGAGAGGCUACGAGGAGAGAAAAAGGAGACCCGGGGAGUGAUUGGUGCAAAGUGUGAGGGACAGAUGUAAUUUUCAGACACGGCGGGGAAGUGAUGUAAUUUUCUGGAUGCAAUUUGUGUGUGCAAGGGUUUGUAUGCAUGCAUGCUUUUGUCUGUUUUGUGUGUAUUGUGGGACAAUGCAGACGCUAAAGUAGCACUUUAGCAACUCAUCAACUGAGAAACAAAACAUCUCCUUUUGGCUCUUUAUUUUCUUUUCAAGACAAAAUGUGUUUUUCGCGAUGCAAUGGCCCCUUUCAAAAUAAAAGGAGUUUUUAUUUUGUAUGUAGACUUGACUUGUUGUCCCCAAAACACAUUCCUCUACUUACCAUAUAACAUAAGUUUUCACUGAAAGAUUGCUGAUUUGUCGACCAACUAACAUUUUCAUCUUUUCUUUUUGGUUUUCAUCCUAACAACCUGGUGAUAAAACAACAUGCACAGCAAAAAUAAUAUCCUGCAAAUGAGUUUUACAUUUUCGAAAGGACAAAAUUGAUGCCGCUAUCAAUGUGAAUUGCGACUUUUAUUUGGCUCUCUCUGUUGGACUUGCCAAACUAAUGUUUUGUUGAUGCAUUGUGCUCCUGGCUGUCUUGGUAGACAAUUAGUCUGACAGAUGAAUUAAAAAAUAUGAGGCCAUUCCCUGCAGGAGAUGAAUCCCUCCCUCCUAAGCACAUAUCCAUUUAUGAGGGGGGCUAUUUUCAUAUCAUAGGAAGAAACAUUAAACAUAAAAUGUUAGCGCUUGGUAAUUGAAUGGUUUACUAGCAACACUCUUAAAGUGAACCAAGGACAUUAAAUUGAAGACAAAACUUUGAAUUCAAUGCCAUUGGACAAUAAGACAUUUUAGGACUGUCUGUAUUCGUUUCUAAAUACUUCAAAAGACCAAUGAUGAAAGCUUGAGUCAAUAUCGUUAUAAUAUGUUAGCAAACAAUUACCGUAUAAAUAAAUCACCAGACAAUAAGCAAUAAGCAUUCAUUUUGACGAAAAUGAGGGAAGUCAAGACAAAUUUAAUUGCAAUUUUCACUCUUUAUUUUAGUCUCCGCCAACUACUGAGUGAAUAUAGCUUAAAGACAUAACAACGCUCCAUAGACCGGAGUGGAACAUGUGACCAUUUUGUGUUGACAAGUCACUGAAUUGUUUUUGCAGAUAUAUUCUAAAAAUACAACCUCAUAAAAAUCAUUUAUUUUAUGGCUUCCAGAAAUGUCUCCAUUGCCAUCACUAAAUUGUCAAACAUUUAAUCUUCAUUCCAUCCUCAGCCUCCUCUUACUCACGUCCAACCAGUUCAUUAGCCACUAUCGAAUUCAAAUCAGGAUUUAAGGAUGAUUGUCACGUUCAAUUUCUCCCUCCGUAAUUGUGAAUGAUGGUGUUGAAAUGAUCUAAAUAAAGCUGCCACUGUCAUGUGGUCACCAGAAACAUGGCAGGGUCGGCUCCGGUUGUUAAACUUUCCUCUGUACUUAUCUCAUCCUCUCCUCAUUAUGCAGACAGCAGGUCGGCCAUCGGGUUAGACGGUGGCAGGAGGGAAAGAUGGACUCAGCAAGUUACACCUCGUGUUGGAACGUGCAUAAAUGGGUCUGAUGAGCUUUGUUGGGCUGUGUCAUCAUGCGACUGAGAAGUUGAUUUAAUAAAUCCUGUAGCAGAGGUUAUAGCGAAAGACAGAUGUAGCAUAAACCUCCUCAUAAUCUACUCAGAUAAUUGGGUAGUUUAAAAAUAAGACUCUAUAACCAAUAAGCAAUAGAUCCAAUUUCUAAAGGUGUAAACACAACGCCCAUGACCUCGUGAAAUCUCAAAAUCGAUGCAGCCGAGCAGAUUUGAUUUGAGCAUUCACCUGAAGACAAGACAGCGUUUACUGGCGUCUAUCAUGACCUCAUCGUCCUUGUGAAACUCAGCGGGAUCGUUAGUGUCUUAAUGGGAGGUUACAUCCUAGUAUAAAACCGUCUGCCUCUGCAACAACAACUUUAUAGAACACCUGUGGGAGCGGGACUUUAUAAGUUGCAUCCUUUUACAUUUUGUAGUUGGCAAAGUGACGGACUCUGCAGGAAACAAACAAUGACUCCUCGAGACACCAGAACCUCACGAGUCGCGUGCAGAUGGCUGAAGUUAGUCAGGUUGGUCCCUUCCAAGAUGCUGUGGCCUUGAUUGUCCCACUAAUACAUUAGUGAUGAUGUAUGCUGCAGAGUUUUCUUUUUUUUUACUUUUUGAGGAAAUCACAAAUCCACCUGUCGUACUUUAAGGGGUUUUAUCAGAAUAAUAACACGCUGACACAAACUCUAGAUUUCCCCUGGCUACAAGUGGAAGCGCAGCCAGCCAGUGUCUUAUUAUAUGAGGCUUCAGAUUUUGGAAGAGCAACAGUAGCAUUUACCUUUAUCUGGUAUCCUUUAAAUGGUGUCAACCAAAUCCCAGCCUGCAAAUAAGAUGAGAAGAUGGUGUGUAUUUGAUUAACAUGCGACCUCUGCUCUGUGCCCUCUCCCAAGGAUUCUUUUGACGCCGUGGGCUACUUCCAUUUGGCUCUGGCAGCGGCCCUGGAGGACCGAGCUAACCCACAGGCGCUGUAUGUGGUGUACAUGAAGCUGGCUGAGAUCCACGGGAGCCACUUGCCCGAUGCUCAGCUGUGCCGAGAUUACAGAGACAGAGCCGAGGGUCUGAAGAGAGUUCUGGCUGGAGAGGAAGGCGCUGCUGCUGCAGAGGAGAACCUGGAGGAUCCGGACUCAGAGACGGGCCAGAAGACGGACAACGAACGUGAAGAUGACUUGCUUGUAAAUACUGGUAUAAUUAUGAGAGACGUAGCGGACGGAUCUACACACGCUGCAAUUGGGGAUAAUCAAGUGAAUGGUGAUAAAGACGGCCCUCUUUUGGACCCCUUUGGGCCCGGGACAGAAACCCUGGCCAGUCAGUCGCACAGUGACAGUAUUUGGACCGAGUCCUUUGAUACAGCCAAGGAGCAAAUCUCAGACUGCAGCAGCUCCACUUUACAAACUCACCAGAACCACGUGGAUGAGAAAGACUUUGACACUGACUGUCACACGUCCAGUCAAAUAUCCGAUCACCUCACAAGUGCAUCACAAGACACAGAUUCUGAUGUUCAGGAUGAACAGAAAACUCCCUGAAGAAGCUCCCUAAUGAAAAUGCACAUCCGGUUCAGAAAUAUCUGACCUAUAUAACAGGUGGGACACUAAGCGGGCAGAGACUGUCGGCAUCGACACCAAUAAAGCACACUGACUCCAACGUUGCAGCCACAUGGCACUUAUUGUAGGAAAGAUGACGUUAAUAAUACUUUUAAGUUUUCAGAGAACCUUUUAGUAUGAUACAUUCUGUGGUUGUUGCAGUUUACUGUGGCUGUUGUGUAUGUUUAUUAGUGUUUUUCUCUCUCCAAAUAUAGGACAAAUUCAUGACAAUGAAGUACAAAGCAAAACAAUAAGGACAUAUCAGAGCAAAAACAAUCAGAAAAAAAAUGUUUCAAUUCUAUUCACCUUGUUUGUGGCUCUCAACUUUUUAAAUCUUUGAAAAGAUGUCACAAAGAUUUAUUUUUCCUUUUUUUUAGAAAAGGCUCAACAAUUUCCCAAAAUAGCUGGGCACUGUAGUUUUUUGUGGUUUUCCUCAGGAGAAAAUGUUGCAUUUGUUGGGGACUAUAUUGUUCUACAGAUUUAAUAAAGACACGGUAACAAAGUGAGCAAUUACUGGGGGAAUGAUUCCUCAACUCCUCAGAGACCGUACAUCCCAAUUUCCCAAGUUGUUUUUGACACAAAUGUAUCUACAGUGCUUUCAAUGUCUGUGUUAUGAGAAGAGAGGGUGGCGCGCUCUGGAAAACAUUCAGCGGCUGCCGACACUGCUUGUGUCCCCAUACUAUCUCUUCCCGGGCCUUUGCAAUCCAUAGUCUUCUCUUCCACAACCUUGCAUGAUUGGGGUCUUGUUAUGUCUGGGGGUCUUCUUCUAGAUUUCCAUCUCCCCCUGUUGAACUGUAAACAACUUCCUACCCAAACAUGUCUAUGGCUAUAGACCUACUUAAACAAUUACAUGAUCAGAACAUGAAUAUGUUUGAAUAUAGAAACAAUUUUUCCUCUACAAAAUCGGCCUACUACCACCUCAAAAAUGUAGCACGACUUAGAGGGCUCAUGUCAGCUCAAGACUUAGAAACACUUGUACAUGCCUUUAUAACUAGUAGGCUAGACUAUUGUAAUGGUCUUCUUGCAGGUCUUCCAAAAAAAACUGUCAAGCAGCUCCAGCUUGUUCAGAAUGCUGCUGCUAGAGUUCUAACAAAGACCAAAAAAUGUGAGCACAUUACACCAAUUCUUAAAUCCUUACAUUGGCUCCCAGUAUGUCAGAGAAUUAAUUUCAAAAUCCUACUGCUCACAUAUAAAUCACUACAUGGUUUAGGGCCAAAGUAUAUCACUGAUAUGCUUCCACUACAUCAGCCUUCAAGAUCACUAAGAUCUU
ensembl:lncRNA